UACGUAGGGUGCGAGCGUUGUCCGGAAUUAUUGGGCGUAAAGAGCUUGUAGGUGGUUUGUCGCGUCUGCUGUGAAAAUCCGAGGCUCAACCUCGGACUUGCAGUGGGUACGGGCAGACUAGAGUGCGGUAGGGGAGAUUUGGAAUUUCCGGUGGAGCGGUGAAAUGCGUAGAGAAUCGGAAAGAACACCAACGGGCGAAAGCACUCUGCUGGGCCGACACUGACACUGAGAGACGAAAGCUAGGGGAGCGAAUGGG
rnacentral:rRNA from 1 species